rnacentral:rRNA from 1 species
GAUGAACGCUGGCGGCGUGCCUAAUACAUGCAAGUCAACCGAACCGACGAUGAGAUUGCUCCUCUGACGUUAGCGGCGGACGGGUGAGUAACACGUGGAUAACCUUCCUAUACGACUGGGAUAACUUCGGGAAACCGGAGCUAAUACCGGAUACUAUAUUGCACCGCCUGGUCCAAUAGUGAAAGAAGGGUUUGCUGUCACUUAUCGAUGGCUCAGCGCCGCAUUAGCUGGUUGGUAAGGUAACGGGUUACCAAGGCAACGAUGCGUAGCCGACCUGAGCGGGUGAUAGGCCACACUGGAACUGAGACACGGUCCAGACGCCUACGGUAGGCAGCGGGGGGGAAGUUUGCAAAAUGGGCGAAAGCGUGACGGAGCAACGCCGCGUGGGUGCUGAAGGGCUGCGGGUCUUUAAAUUGUGUUAUUAGGGAGGAAGAAAAGUGUAAGUAAAUAUGCACGACAUGACGGUACCUAAUCAGAAAGCCACGGCUAACUACGUG